rnacentral:lncRNA from 1 species
CUGGAACUGUGAUGAACUGGAACAUUUACUGGCUUUGGACUAGAGAAAUAACUUUGCUGUGUGUAAGCCAAGCCCCUUACCAGAUGGCAACACUUCAGCUGGCAUGGAUUAGGAUAGGGUGUUUUCUUGAAUUGAUUAUAACCUGGUGGAGCUGCUGGUCCCAGAUCUGUAUAUUAAGUGCCUGAUCUAAAGCCAGUUGGAACUGGGAUUCACAUAAG